ACCUGUGCUGGACCGUGUACAAGUCUCCUGGAAUGGAGCAUCACAGAGGGUGAGAAUCCCGUCUUUGACAUGGACUACCAGUGCAUUGCGGUUGCGCUCUCAACGAGUCGAGUUGUUUGGGAAUGCAGCUCUAAAUGGGUGGUAAAUUCCAUCUAAAGCUAAAUAUUGGCGAGAGACCGAUAGCGAACAAGUACCGUGAGGGAAAGAUGAAAAGAACUUUGGAAAGAGAGUUAAACAGUAUGUGAAAUUGUUGAAAGGGAAACGUUUGAAGUCAGUCGCGUUGGUUGGGGAUCAGCCUGACAUUGUUGGGUGUAUUUCCUGGUCGACGGGCCAACAUCAGUUUUGACUGCCAGAAAAAGGCCAAAGGAAUGUGGCACCUUUGGGUGUGUUAUAGCCCUUGGUCGUAUAUGGUGGUUGGGACUGAGGAAAGCAGCGUGCCGAAAGGCCGGGUUUCGACCACGUUCACGCUGAGGAUGUUGGCAUAAUGGCUUUAAGCGACCCGUCUUGAAACACGGACCAAGGAGUCUAACAUGCAUGCGAGUGUUUGGGUGGAAAACCCUUACGCGUAAUGAAAGUGAAAGUUGAGAUCCCUGUCGCGGGGAGCAUCGACGCCCGGACCAGAACU
rnacentral:rRNA from 1 species